rnacentral:rRNA from 1 species
UACGAAGGGGGCUAGCGUUGCUCGGAAUCACUGGGCGUAAAGCGCACGUAGGCGGAUUGCUAAGUCAGGGGUGAAAUCCUGGAGCUCAACUCCAGAACUGCCUUUGAUACUGGCGAUCUUGAGUCCGGGAGAGGUGGGUGGAACUGCGAGUGUAGAGGUGAAAUUCGUAGAUAUUCGCAAGAACACCAGUGGCGAAGGCGGCUCACUGGCCCGGUACUGACGCUGAGGUGCGAAAGCGUGGGGAGCAAACAGG